AGAUGCUGGAGUUUGGGGUAACUUUACAUCCGCAACGUGUAGGUCCGCACUGACUACAUUUUAGGAGUCUUAAUAGGUUACCGCAUUGUUCGAGUACCAUAAAACGGUUCGCUAUUUACCAGUAUACUUACAGAAGCUGUAUGAAUCCUAAAUCUGAUUGAAAUUGCAACUCAAGACAAAGAAUGAGGGAAGGGUGGUUAAAAAAAAAAAAAAAAAAAAAAAGGAUUUCACAGCCUGGCAUGGUUUCAAUGGAGAGUUACAGGUGCACAACCACCUGCAAGACAAGGCGACUGCUGGAUUCUGCACGCACCGGACGGAGCACACUUUCGGAGCCUUAACGCGCCAAUGAAUUACUGACAUGACAACGGACCAACAGAUCCCAGCUAAGAUCCAGCCAGACAUGGGUCACUGGACGGACUGGGGGCUCCCUCUUCCAAUUUCAAGCAAGACGACGACACAAGAUAAAGUGAAUUAAAUGAAAUGCAGACAACUUUUCUGCAGUCUUUAAAAUGAAGAAUUCAAAUCAACUCUGAUAGGUAAGGAUUUCUGUACAGAAAAACAAGAUGAGCGGCCUGAAAUUUCAGUUGGGCCCAUUUCACACCUGGUCAAGAAUAACUGGAAGACACCAGCUGGAUCUCACCGCCCCCCUCAGACCUGUCUGCACUCGGAUGCCGUGCGCAGGAAACCACUGAAGGCAGCCAAGGCCGCAGGCUCCCACAGCCAAAAAAAAAAAAAAAGAAAGAAAAAAAAAAUAUCACUUCUUCCAAGGUCUGAGUUUUGAAGAUUGAGAUGUGAUUUGGACCAAAUUCAAUUCCUCAGACUUCACUGGAGAUGUGCUGCGAACUGAAGUUACUGCGUCUUUUAAGCCCUGACAAAUAUCUAUACACAGGAGCCUGCUUCAUCAGCAAUUUUGUUUCCUUUCCCGGGAUGUUUAACUCCGCUAAAGAAACUCCAUUCCAAGUCUUCAGUAUAUAGAAAACUCCUAUUCAUUUGCUCCUGAGGCAGUUCAUUUACAAAAGACUUGUGCAAAAUUGAACAAUAAAUUAAAUCUGAGUACGAGUUCAUGAUUGGGUUUAAACAAACAUCUGCUUCUGAGACAACAGAAAACCCAUUUUAUUUUUUAAAAAAUCACUUCAGAAAUAUGAAGGUGAUUUCU